UAUGACAACCUUCCCCAGUACGAAAGGACCGGAAAGGUGGGGCCAAUACCCCAAGCACGCCCUCCCCCCCAAGUGAUGCCCCCCACUAAAUCACCAAAGGACUACCCCCACUACCCUAACAAAAAGGUU
rnacentral:rRNA from 1 species